CCUGGACCGGCAUUACCUAAAUCUGAUCGGCCAUGGCCACCCCAACACCCUCAACCUGCACACGCCCCAGCACCCUCCGGUGCUCUGACACCCACUCACCGCAUAGAUUACUUUGCGAUUUGGUGCCAGUUUGAGACGAUGUAUAUGUUGUACGUGUGUAAAUAGUGCGCUAACAAAAAUCGGAUGGGAGAGCACCAGGAGCGAAUUCGCCUUCAGAAGGACCUCCCUUACCAAUAAAUAUUUUUUGUGCUAAAGACCAAUAAAUAUUUUGUGCU
rnacentral:lncRNA from 1 species